AUACGUAGGUGGCGAGCGUUGUCCGGAAUUAUUGGGCGUAAAGAGCAUGUAGGCGGCUUAAUAAGUCGAGCGUGAAAAUGCGGGGCUCAACCCCGUAUGGCGCUGGAAACUGUUAGGCUUGAGUGCAGGAGAGGAAAGGGGAAUUCCCAGUGUAGCGGGGAAAUGCGUAGAUAUUGGGAGGAACACCAGUGGCGAAGGCGCCUUUCUGGACUGUGUCUGACGCUGAGAUGCGAAAGCCAGGGUAGCGAACGGGAUUAGAUACCCCGGUAGUCCUGGCCGUAAACGAUGGGUACUAGGUGUAGGAGGUAUCGACCCCUUCUGUGCCGGAGUUAACGCAAUAAGUACCCCGCCUGGGGAGUACGGCCGCAAGGUUGAAACUUAAAGGAAUUGACGGGG
rnacentral:rRNA from 1 species